UACGUAGGGGGCAAGCAUUGUCCGGAUUUAUUGGGCGUAAAGAGCGUGUAGGCGGCUAGAUAGGUCCGUUGUGAAAACUCGAGGCUCAACCUCGAGACGUCGAUGGAAACCAUCUGGCUAGAGUCCGGAAGAGGAGAGUGGAAUUCCUGGUGUAGCGGUGAAAUGCGCAGAUAUCAGGAAGAACACCCGUGGCGAAGGCGGCUCUCUGGUACGUGACUGACGCUGAGACGCGAAAGCGUGGGGAGCGAACAGG
rnacentral:rRNA from 1 species